ACGGGAGGCAGCAGUGGGGAAUAUUGCACAAUGGGCGCAAGCCUGAUGCAGCGACGCCGCGUGAGCGAAGAAGUAUUUCGGUAUGUAAAGCUCUAUCAGCAGGGAAGAUAAUGACGGUACCUGACUAAGAAGCACCGGCUAAAUACGUGCCAGCAGCCGCGGUAAUACGUAUGGUGCAAGCGUUAUCCGGAUUUACUGGGUGUAAAGGGAGCGUAGGCGGUUUUACAAGUCUGAUGUGAAAGCCCGGGGCUCAACUCCGGUAUUGCAUUGGAAACUGUAGAACUAGGGUGUCGGAGGGGUAAGUGGAAUUCCUAGUGUAGCGGUGAAAUGCGUAGAUAUUAGGAGGAACACCAGUGGCGAAGGCGGCUUACUGGACGAUUACUGACGCUGAGGCUCGAAAGCGUGGGGAGCAAACAGGAUUAGAUACCCUGGUA
rnacentral:rRNA from 1 species